rnacentral:rRNA from 1 species
GUCAGUAUGCUCCGAAGCUCCCGGGCUACACGCGGGCUACAAUGGUUGGGACAAUGGGAAUCAACACCGAAAGGUGAAGGCAAUCUCCUAAACCCAAUCGAAGUUCGGAUUGAGGGCUGCAACUCGCCCCCAUGAAGCUGGAAUCCGUAGUAAUCGCGUUUCAACACAGCGCGGUGAAUACGUCCCUGCUCCUUGCACACACCGCCCGUCAAACCAUCUGAGUGAGGUUUGGAUGAGGAUCUUCCUGAUGGGGGAUUCGAAUCUGGGCUUCGCAAGGAGGGUUAAGUCGUAACAAGGUAG